CCAUUCUCUCCUCCAACAGCACCAAAUUAAAACCCUAAUGAUAUUAAAACUCCCACCCCCACCACACCCCUACCCCGCCGCCGACGCUCCAUCCCCACCACACCCCUCCCCGCCACUGAUGCCCCAUCCCCACCACUGUCCUACCUCCGUCGCGCCCUUGCUGUCCGCCCCCAGUACUAAAGUGCCCCAAGGGAUUGGGAUUAUAAAAGGUUUAGAGAAGUUGCUGAUAAAUGUGGGGCUCUUUUGCUUUGUGAUAUGGCUCAUAAUAGUGGACUUGUUGCAGCUCAGGUAAAAUUUUGAUGUAUCUCUGUUAUGAAGAUUGUAUUUUUAUUGUCAUUUGUUUAAUCUGCAUGGUGAUUCUGAAUUGGUUUAGAGGCUAGAUCUGCACUGAAAUUGGUGUUUCUUUGAUGCCAUUUUUAUUCUUAUAGUGAUCCUAAUAGUUUUGUUUCCAAGCUAAUUUUUGUUGCAUUGUGAUAUGUGCACAUCUUUACACAAUUAGUCGGCCGGAUUCACUGUUUACUUUUCCUAGCCGGUAUUCAUAGAUUUUACACUACCCGGUUAUACACAUAUUAUACGUGGAUUAUACAUAUAUUAUACAUCUAUAGGCUAGUUUUAGUUAAGUGUGUGGAUGGCUAUUUAGGUUAAUUCUUCUUUUUGUUUGCAUGCUAAUUUAUAGUAAUUUUGGAAAGAAUAGAUGUUGUGGUACUCUGUAUCUAUUGGUUUUAACUCUUGGAUCAGCCUGUCAACUCUGAUGAUACAUAUUUGUUUUAUCGCGAGGUUUAUAUUUGAUAUUGGUUUCUACUGAAUGGUCAAGCAAAUUAACACAAUUUGGAUGUCCUGGCGAUCUGGUUUUAUGCUUUGUGAUCCAUGAGUUAUGUUGAAAAAUUGGUAUUAGUUGAACUUGUAGGUCUUGUCAAGUUUCUUCUGAUUACAUGAUUAUGAUGAGGCUUAAUGGGGAAUUACUCUUUACAUAAUUUAUACACUAGAGUCUGAUUUCUAAUGAUUUGCAUUUGUUUUAUACGCUGCGAUUUGAGUUGUGACUUUGGUAUUUCAAGACUGUCUUUGUUAGUGUCUUCACUAGAUCUACUCUUAGGCCUUCAAGCUGCCAUAGAAGAAAGGCUAUUUUUUGGUAGAUCUAAGCAUUUUAGAAGUUAAUGAAAUGCUUUGUCCUUGAGAUGCGCGAUGUUCCUUUUUCCCCCUAAAUGUUACACUAUUGGUCCUUAAGUACAUUUUUUUUAAAAAUCCUACAAGCUGUGUUUGAAGAGCUCAAUUUAGAUUAUGGUUGUUCAUCUUUAAUCUAAUAGAUGCAUGGAUUAAAGAAGCAGGGAUGUAUCAUGACAGUACUUUGUCCUUCAGAUGGAGCCUCAUUUUUAAAAGAUUUCUCCUUUUCUGGUGAAUGGUGCAAUGUAAGUUUACUAUGCAUUGUUUGAUUAAAUUAGAACCAAGCAGAUUAGACCAUGUGAAAUGUAACCGAUGUCUACUGUCUACAUUCCAAGGUUGUUGUUUUCCUUGUUAUUAAAUUCCAGAAUUCUAUCAGUUAAUCAUUAGUACUGUUAACUGCUACAUGCACAUUUUAUUUACGCUAUUACUAAGUUGAAUCUUGGUAUGAAUAUCACACUCCAUAAUGGCAAAGACACCUUCUCGUAUGUUUUUAAGACUUCUCAAAAAACCAUUUAGUUUCUGAAACUUGGCAAUUAGAAUAUCACUCAGUUCUUAUUGCUCCAGAGUCCAGCCCGUGUACAAUAUUCUACCUUCAAAAUUAAUAGCGUGAAGUGAUUUCAUUUUCCUUUCUCUGUUGUUCACCUUUGUUCUGGAAUGUUUUUCUUCUGUUGUUUCAUGCAUUAGCCACUGAGAUUAUGUGGAAUUUAACAUUCUGCUUAUUUUUAGGUACUUUGUGUAGUUGGAGAUGUUUUUUUUUUUUUGCAUGACACAAAUGGGCUGUCCCUUUUGAGAAAGCAUUUAUGAUUGUAGAAGUACUUUGAUGAAUUGGACGUGUUGAUGAGUUGCAUUGUUGAUUUGGUUGAUGAGUGUGACUGGCUGAUGGGCUGCUGUAAAAGAGGGUAAAAAAUCCACCAAUGUGCCCUGCCCAAGAUCCUGAUAUAGCCUGGUAUACAAAGAUUGAGACUUGCUUAACUCCUUACCUGAAGUUUCAAGUGAAGAAGAGGUGGCUGGUGGACAAUUGAAAAAGUGGCCUAAAAGAUUACAAGUGAUACCACCGAGGAUAAGCAGGGGUACUGUAACUACAAUUGAUAAGUGUUUGAAUGUAGUUUUAAUUCGAAUUAUAAGUACUUUGAAGGUGAAUUUAAUUGUAGAAUGUAGUUUAUGGUUGUUUAAGUGUUUCAAUGUAGUUGUAAUUUGAAUUAGAAGUACUUUAAAUUGGAAUUUGAGGUUGAAUUUGAUUGUAGAAUGUUGUAGUUUAUGAUUGUAGAAGUACUUUGAUGAAUUGGAUGUGUUGAUGAA